GUUUAAGGUGCUCCCACAAUGUGGUUGGUGUGCUAGAUGGUGAAGAUUUGCAGACUGAAAUCUCAAAGUCAUAUGCAGAUCCUGAUUAUGUUAACCAGCAUUUGAAGAACCAAAGAUAGAGAAUGACUUGGCCAAAAUUCUGCAACACUCUCGCUCACAGCAUUGUCGGUCUAUCUGCACCAAAUGGACUGCGAAUGAUUCAAGACAGCAGCUCACUACCAUCUUCUCAAGGGUAACUAGAGAUGGGGAAUAAAUGCUGGCCGAGCCAGUGAUGCCCAUAUUCUGGAAAUGGUUUCUAUCUCUAGUUGCUGAAACCCAGUUGAUGUUAGUGCAGGAUGAUGAGGGACGCUGAGUGCAUCCUCCAGAAGGCAUCGCCAUCACAUUACCCCUUCCUACACCCACACAGUAACACAGCAACGUUACUGGAACAAAAGGCAGUGAACCCAAAGGAGGACUUAGAUAUAGUUCUUCGAGGUAAAGUCAUGAAAGGGGAUUGGAACACAGCAGGAACAGGAGACUGAGCUGGAUGGUCAGCUGUUUCCCAUUGAAAGGUGGAGCAGGAUUGAAAGGCCGAAUGGCCGCCUCCUGCUGCUAUAUCCCAGGUAUGUAUAUAGCCACGGAGCCCGGGUAGGAAGGAGUGGGCAGGGAUUCUCCAGGAGAUUGCACUUCCACAUCAGUUUUCAGUGAGAGAUGGUAUGAUGGAUUUUAUUCAACAUUUAUCUUUAACACAAGGUUUGUGAGUUUAGUGUUAAAAUGUUGUAGCUGUUUAUUCCACAAUAAAUAAAACUAAAAGAAAUGAAAUGAAA